rnacentral:lncRNA from 1 species
UUUAUCUCAGCAGUCAACUCCGGCCUACGCAUCCUCUACGUAGGGGACCGAUGCAAAUAAGUGAAUGAUCCAGCAAAACAAAAAAAUCAAAGAAAGCAAAAAGAAAACUCCGGUAUAGGUGACCCUCACAAAGUCAUUUAAACCAAAGAAUUGUAAAAAUUUGCUACAAAACGAUAAAGAAAAAAAACUUACCCGCUGUUAGUUGGCUUAGAGGUAUUUGGCGCUGAACUCGG